rnacentral:rRNA from 1 species
AUACGCUUNGCUGNCUANCAUGCAGUUCGAAGAUGAAGCCCAGCUUGCUGGGUGGAUUAAGUGGCGAACGUGAGUAACACGUGAGUAACCUGCCCUUAACUCUGGAGAUAAGCCUGGGAAACUGGGUCUAAUACCGGAUAGGAGCGUCCACCGCAUGGUGGGUGUUGGAAAGACUUAUCGGAUAUUCUGGAUGGACUCGCGGCCUAUCAGCUUGUUGGUGAGGUAAUGGCUCACCAAGGCGACGACGGGUAGCCGGCCUGAGAGGGUGACCGGCCACACUGGGACUGAGACACGGCCCAGACUCCUACGGGAGGCAGCAGUGGGGAAUAUUGCACAAUGGGCGCAAACCUGAUGCAGCGACGCCGCGUGAGGGAUGACGGCCUUCGGGUUGUAAACCUCUUUCAGUAGGGAAGAAGCGAAAGUGACGGUACCUGCAGAAGAAGCACCGGCUAACUACGUGCCAGCAGCCGCGGUAAUACGUAGGGUGCGAGCGUUAUCCGGCAAUUCAUUCGGGCGUACAAGAGCUCGUAGGCGGUUUGUCGCGUCUGUCGUGAAAGUCCGGGCUUAACCCCCCCGGAUCUGCGGUGGGUACGGCAGACUAGAGUGCAGUAGGGGAGACUGGAAUUCCUGGUGUACCGGUGGAAUGCGCAGAUUAUCCAGGAGGAACACCGAUGGCGAAGCAGUUCUCUGGGCUGUAACUGACGCUGAGGAGCGAAAGCAUGGGGAGCGAACAGGAUUAGAUACCCUGGUAGUCCAUGCCGUAAACGUUGGGCACUAGUGUGGGGACCAUUCCACGGUUUCCGCGGCCGCAGCUAACGCAUUAAGUGCCCCGCCUGGGGAGUACGGCCGCAAGGCUAAAACUCAAAGGAAUUGACGGGGGCCCGCACAAGCGGCGGAGCAUGCGGAUUAAUUCGAUGCAACGCGAAGAACCUUACCAAGGCUUGACAUGUUCUCGAUCGCCGUAGAGAUACGGUUUCCCCUUUGGGGCGGGUUCACAGGUGGUGCAUGGUUGUCGUCAGCUCGUGUCGUGAGAUGUUGGGUUAAGUCCCGCAACGAGCGCAACCCUCGUUCCAUGUUGCCAGCACGUAAUGGUGGGGACUCAUGGGAGACUGCCGGGGUCAACUCGGAGGAAGGUGAGGACGACGUCAAAUCAUCAUGCCCCUUAUGUCUUGGGCUUCACGCAUGCUACAAUGGCCGGUACAAUGGGUUGCGAUACUGUGAGGUGGAGCUAAUCCCAAAAAGCCGGUCUCAGUUCGGAUUGGGGUCUGCAACUCGACCCCAUGAAGUCGGAGUCGCUAGUAAUCGCAGAUCAGCAACGCUGCGNGAUACGUCCGGG